GACGAACGCUGGCGGCGUGCUUAACACAUGCAAGUCGAACGGGAUCCAGGCUUCGGCCUGGUGAGAGUGGCGGACGGGUGAGUAACGCGUGGGAACCUGCCCAAUGGUCUGGGAUAACCGCGGGAAACUGCGGCUAAUACCGGAUAAGCCCGAGAGGGGAAAGAUUUAUCGCCGAUGGAGGGGCCCGCGUCAGAUUAGGUAGUUGGUGGGGUAAUGGCCUACCAAGCCUACGAUCUGUAGCUGGCUGAGAGGAUGAUCAGCCACACUGGGACUGAGAUACGGCCCAGACUCCUACGGGAGGCAGCAGUGGGGAAUAUUGGACAAUGGGGGCAACCCUGAUCCAGCAAUGCCGCGUGAGUGAUGAAGGCCUUAGGGUUGUAAAGCUCUUUUGCCAGGGACGAUGAUGACGGUACCUGGAGAAUAAGCCCCGGCUAACUUCGUGCCAGCAGCCGCGGU
rnacentral:rRNA from 1 species